AAUCCGUCUUGCGGACACUUUCUAAAAAGCCCCUUGAACCUUUCCCACGUCUCAAAUGGAGACUCCAAUUCUGACUAUACAAAGGAUGAGAUCUCAUUCCUAAGCUU